rnacentral:tRNA from 1 species
GCCACGGAGGUCUAGAGGUUAGAACGCUGGCCUUGUAAUCCUGGGGUCUCGGGUUCGAUUCCCGGUGGUGCCC